AAUAGAUACCCGGGUAGUCCACCCCGUAAACGUUGGGAACUAGUUGUGGGGUCCUUUCCACGGAUUCCGUGACGCAGCUAACGCAUUAAGUUCCCCGCCUGGGGAGUACGGCCGCAAGGCUAAAACUCAAAGGAAUUGACGGGGACCCGCACAAGCGGCGGAGCAUGCGGAUUAAUUCGAUGCAACGCGAAGAACCUUACCAAGGCUUGACAUACACCAGAACACCCUAGAAAUAGGGGACUCUUUGGACACUGGUGAACAGGUGGUGCAUGGUUGUCGUCAGCUCGUGUCGUGAGAUGUUGGGUUAAGUCCCGCAACGAGCGCAACCCUCGUUCUAUGUUGCCAGCACGUAAUGGUGGGAACUCAUGGGAUACUGCCGGGGUCAACUCGGAGGAAGGUGGGGAUGACGUCAAAUCAUCAUGCCCCUUAUGUCUUGGGCUUCACGCAUGCUACAAUGGCCGGUACAAAGGGCUGCAAUACCGUGAGGUGAGCGAAUCCCAAAAAGCCGGUCCAGUUCGGAUUGAGGUCUGCAACUCGACUCA
rnacentral:rRNA from 1 species